CCUGUCCCACCAGCCAGAACCAUUCCCAAAAUUCUCCUGAAUUCCCAAAAAUUCUGCUCUUGCCUCACCUGCCACAGCAACUGAGGGGACACAAAACCCACGGCGCAGGCAAGCAGCGCUUUCUCCAGCUCUGCCCACGGAACCACGGCUAAAAACCCCAGCAGGAGGACUCGUGCUCUGGCUGCAAUGAUGCGAUGGAUGCGAUGACUCUCCCGGGGCCGCCACGGCCGCACUUUUCCAGACAGCCUGGCCUGGUUGUGCAGGUGAAACGGCAGCUCCAACCCCGGCCUGUGCCCGCAGAGCCGAACCCUCCCGGAGAGGGCCAGGGAAGAAAUGUUUCUGGGCAGCCUCCCUCUUGGAUUCGGCAAUGUCAAAUCCUCCUUGUGUCGCUCUGGUUUUACCACCAGCGUGAGCAGGGAGGGACGGCGAGUGCUGGCCCCGAGCAGACCUCAGGCUGAGCGCCAGGCUGGCUGGGCAGGGGAAAGUCUCCAGCCGCAGGAACCUGCCCUAGGCUGCGGGCAGGACGGGGAUGCCGGCGCUCGCUUUGGGAGAAAGAACACUUCUGAUCCCCCCCUUCUCUUUGCAGAGACACUUUUAUUUCCCUGUCUGCUCUGGGAUCUGCUCCCCGGUGUUCCUCCCAGCCCUCCUGCUGCUGCUGGGACCGUGGGGCAGUUCACCCCAAUUUGCUGCAGUUUGUAAAUCUGCCUCCCCGGGGCCGGCCCCGUCUGCGUCUGCGGCAGCAGAGCCUGGGAAAAGGCUCAAACGAGCCUCCGGACAAGAUUCACUUUCUCACCCUUACCUCCAGG